CCUACGGGGGGCUGCAGUGAGGAAUAUUGGUCAAUGGGCGGAAGCCUGAACCAGCCAAGUAGCGUGCAGGAUGACGGCCCUACGAGUUGUAAACUGCUUUUAUACGGGAAUAACGCGCCUUACGUGUAGGGCUUUGCAUGUACCGUAUGAAUAAGGACCGGCUAAUUCCGUGCCAGCAGCCGCGGUAAUACGGAAGGUCCAGGCGUUAUCCGGAUUUAUUGGGUUUAAGGGGAGCGUAGGCGGCUUGUCAAGAUUGAUGUGAAAUGUCCGGGCUUAACCCGGGACGUGCAGCGAGUACUGGCGUUCUUGAGAUCGGGGAAGGUAGGCGGAAUGCGUGGUGUAGCGGUGAAAUGCUUAGAUAUGACAGAGAACGCCGAUUGCGAAGGCAGCGUGCUGGAGUGGAACUGACGCUGAGGCUCGAAAGCGUGGGUAGCGAACAGGAUUAGAGACCCCUGUAGUC
rnacentral:rRNA from 1 species